GCCAGCCCGCUCAGAAACUCAAGGAAUUGACGGGGCCGCACAAGCGGUGGAGUAUGUGGUUAAUUCGAUGCAACGCGAAGAACCUUACCUGGUCUUGACAUCCCGGAGACCCUUAGGAAACUAGGGGGUGCUUCCAUCUGGAAGAAUCUGGAGACAGGUGCUGCAUGGCUGUCGUCAGCUCGUGUCGUGAGAUGUUGGGUUAAGUCCCGCAACGAGCGCAACCCUUGCCUUUAGUUGCCAGCAGUUCGGCUGGGCACUCUAAAGGGACUGCCGGUGUUAAACCGGAGGAAGGUGGGGAUGACGUCAAGUCCUCAUGGCCUUUAUGACCAGGGCUACACACGUACUACAAUGGCCGAUACAAAGGGCAGCGACACUGCGAGGUGAAGCCAAUCCCGUAAAAUCGGUCUCAGUCCGGAUUGGAGUCUGCAACUCGACUCCAUGAAGUUGGAAUCGCUAGUAAUCGUGGAUCAGCAUGCCACGGUGAAUACGUUCCCGGGCCUU
rnacentral:rRNA from 1 species